GGGCCCGCACAAGCGGUGGAGCAUGUGGUUUAAUUCGAUGAUACGCGAGGAACCUUACCAGGGCUUAAAUGUAAGUUGCAUAAACUAGAGAUAGUUUUUUCUUCGGACUACUUACAAGGUGCUGCAUGGUUGUCGUCAGCUCGUGCCGUGAGGUGUCAGGUUAAGUCCUAUAACGAGCGCAACCCCUAUCGUUAGUUGCCAACAGGUUAAGCUGGGAACUCUAACGAGACUGCCGGUGCAAACCGCGAGGAAGGUGGGGAUGACGUCAAAUCAUCACGGCCCUUACGUCCUGGCUACACACGUGCUACAAUGGCCGGUACAGAGAGCAGCCACUCCGCGAGGAGGAGCG
rnacentral:rRNA from 1 species